rnacentral:lncRNA from 1 species
UAGAUGUGGCCCCCACUGGCUGGAUGCCCGGCUCUGCCGUCUCCCACACCCUCUGGCAUCGCGGUGCCCUGAGGGCGGCUAGGCUUUGGACUCUCCUUUAACUCCUGUCAUCCACCCUGCGUCCUGCCUCAUGACUCUGCCGGCUCUGGACCCACCUGGCGGCCCACACCCAGGAUCAGCAGAUAACCUUCGAGUAAAUGCGGUCCUGAGAGCCCAGAGAAAAAGAAGAGUUGCCAUAAACAAAUCUUUCCAAACCUGGGAGCCGUGCACAAAGACCAUGGACCCCCUGGGCUGCGAGCCCCUCCCCGCCCCGCUCCAUCCUCCACACCCACCGGACGCCUGGCUGUGGCGUGGCGGGCUCUGUGUCCACCUGCGGCCCCUCUAUGGCCCCCACCUGGCAGGGGCCCAGGGGUAGGAUGCAGGUCCCUCUGCGGCGUGGCUGUCGGACUGCAGGCUGGCUUGGAGUGACCUCCCUCUGGCACCCUUCAGGGAAGACUUGACUGCUGUGCAAACCGCCGCCCGGGUCCCUCUGCCUGAGCCAGCCCGUGCAGGUGCCACACCUCCGCCUCCCGCCACCAUCCGUCCAGACCUGGGCCUGC